rnacentral:rRNA from 1 species
UACGUAGGGUGCAAGCGUUAUCCGGAAUUAUUGGGCGUAAAGAGCUCGUAGGCGGUUUGUCGCGUCUGCUGUGAAAACCCGAGGCUCAACCUCGGGCCUGCAGUGGGUACGGGCAGACUAGAGUGCGGUAGGGGGAGAUUGGAAUUCCUGGUGUAGCGGUGGAAUGCGCAGAUAUCAGGAGGAACACCGGUGGCGAAGGCGGAUCUCUGGGCCAUUACUGACGCUGAGGAGCGAAAGCGUGGGGGAGCGAACAGG